AGCCACCAGUGAGGAUUGUACUCUCGAUUCCUUAUUUACUAGACCAGUGCUCUAACCACUGAGCUAUGGUGGC